rnacentral:rRNA from 1 species
GACGAACGCUGGCGGCGUGCUUAACACAUGCAAGUCGAACGGGCCUUGUCCCCUUUUUUUUGGGGGUGGGGUUAGUGGCGAACGGGUGAGUAACACGUGAGUAACCUGCCCCUCACUUCUGGAUAACCGCUUGAAAGGGUGGCUAAUACGGGGUGUUCUGGCCUGCACGCAUGGGUGGGUUUGGAAAGAUUCGACCGGUUUUGGUUGUUUUGGUGGGGGAUGGGCUCGCGGCCUAUCAGCUUGUUGGUGGGGUGAUGGCCUGCCAAGGCUUUGACGGGUAGCCGGCCUGAGAGGGUGGGCGGUCACACUGGGACUGAGACACGGCCCAGACUCCUACGGGAGGCAGCAGUGGGGAAUAUUGCACAAUGGGCGCAAGCCUGAUGCAGCGACGCCGCGUGAGGGAUGGAGGCCUUCGGGUUGUGAACCUCUUUCGCCAGUGAAGAAGGUCCUGCUCUUUGUGGUGGGGUUGACGGUAGCUGGGUUAAUGAAGCGCCGGCUAACUACGUG